GGAGUCUUCUCCCUCCUCCAACACGUCGCUAGGAAAUGCCUCUGCUUUCCGUCCUGCUCUAGGGCAGGCAGUAAGCUUUAGCUGAGAACACAUUUGGAGAUGUGUGAACGAGUGAACCAAGUGUAUCCUGGAAGCACCAGCCCAUGCCUGCUCCUGCAGAGCCUGUGAAAGCCCAGCAAACUUUUUGGGGACUGACGCAGAGGACCAGAGCUAUCACCAGCUGGAUUUGGGGCUUUGGUGGCAUACAUGCAAGGGAGAUAAAUGACUCUUAUUUUGUUCUUAGGAGCUGUUUCCUUCACAGAAAUUUCUGACAAAACUGCACUGAAGGAAUUAAACUCGGGAAGUCAGCUCGUGAUGGUCCAGGGACUAAGAGAAAAAGAAUGUGAAGAUCAGCAGUCCAACGGCCAACACUAAAAAUGCUCUGGACUUAGGGAGUGCCGCCUGUCUCAGUGUGACCCAGGACCCGAGGGGCCCA